UUUCACUUUAGUUAUUUCAGUCAUUGAUUGUAAUUUAACUUUUCAGGGGAGAUUGAGAAAUGAAGCCAUGAGUGAAAGAGGAGAAAGACCAUGCAAUGAAGCAUAGGUUUUAGUUGUUAGUGAAAAAAUGUAGAAAUAUUUGUAUGAUAUUGUCACCUUAUCUAUGUUUCUUUACGAAGACAACUAUCUUGUUUACUGUACUUUAAUUAGACAUGUUGGUUCCUGAUAAAGUACUUAAUUUCUUUUUUUGUGAAGCGCAUAAUUCAUUCCAAAUGCAAUGUCAUGGUCAUUUUUUUCCAUUAUUAACCUAGCAUAUUAGAAAC
rnacentral:lncRNA from 1 species